UACGAGGGGGGCUAGCGUUGUUCGGAUUUACUGGGCGUAAAGCAUGUGUAGGUGGUUAUAUAAGUUGGUUGUGAAAUCCUGGGGCUCAACUCCAGAACUGCAAUCAAAACUGUAUUUCUAGAGCUUAAGAGAGGAUGACGGAAUUCCCAGUGUAAAGGUAAAAUUUGUAGAUAUUGGGAGGAACACCAGUUGCGAAGGCGGUCAUCUGGAUUAACGCUGACACUAAGACAUGAAAGUGUGGGGAGCAAACAGG
rnacentral:rRNA from 1 species